rnacentral:rRNA from 1 species
AUUGAACGCUGGCGGCAGGCCUAACACAUGCAAGUCGAACGAGUGGCGGACGGGUGAGUAAUGUCUGGGAAACUGCCUGAUGGAGGGGGAUAACUACUGGAAACGGUAGCUAAUACCGCAUACCCUCGGAUGUGCCCAGAUGGGAUUAGCUAGUAGGUGGGGUACAGGCUCACCUAGGCGACGAUCCCUAGCUGGUCUGAGAGGGUGACCAGCCACACUGGGACUGAGACACGGCCCAGACUCCUACGGGAGGCAGGAGUGGGGAAUAUGGCACAAGGGGCGCAAGCCUGAUGCAGCCAUGCCGCGUGUAUGAAGAAGGCCUUCGGGUUGUAAAGUACUUUCAGCAGGGAGGCGUUACCCGCAGAAGAAGCACCGGCUAACUCCGUGCCAGCAGCCGCGGUAAUAC